GAACAGAACAAGCCUCUGAUAAUGAAGAAAAGAACUUGGAGUCAAGAUAUACUAUACACCUCAUCAGAAAACAGCAACGCAACAAAAGUGAAGUAACAGGCAAAUGAACCUUUAUUUACUAUGUGUUCCUUUGAUCUUCAGAGUGUGCCUCAGGUACCUAAUUCAAGUGAGUCUCUAUUUUAUUACUCAAGGAAAAUGUAAGUCUACAAUCUUACAAAUUAUGUUGAACAAGGUCAAGCACAGGGAAUAGAAAUAUAGAAAAUGGCUGUGUUCUAUUUUUUUUAAUAUCUACAUCCUGAUGUCUAAGAAACAUCAUCCAUCUUUUGAUACAUUUGAGGGACAAAAUCAACAAGCUGUAUUCCUGCUCUAUGCUGAACAAACUUUAACUACUCCAACAAGGCCACUCUCAUAUGGGAUGUGAUUAUAUACACACAACUAUUGACAUUCCAAAAAAUACAAAUAUGCUUUCACUAUGAAUAUUAGACUAUUUGAUGGCGGUAAAAGGACUAAAGUAACAAAUUAUCAUAUACUAAAGGUUUCCACUCCACAACUGUGUUGAAUACAGACAUUUGAAGAUACAAGUAGACGAAAUAUUGUUGUAAUGAGUAAUUAUACGUAUAUAAUAUAACGACUAAUUUGAUAAAAAUUUCGAGGGAAAUAGGAUUCAAAGAAAUCACAGAAAAUCCGACAGUCCAAACACUGCUAAGCCAAU